CUAAUGAUCGUCCCCGACGGUGCCUCCGCGAGGAGGUGAAAAGGGAACGCGGUGUGAUGCCGCGGCUGCCCCCGCAACUGUAAGCGGCGAGUUCCGCGCCAUCGGCCACUGGGAGCGAUCCCGGGAAGGCGGCGUGGAAUGACCAGACCCGCGAGCCAGGAGACCUGCCGUCGACAGUGUUCCUAU
rnacentral:ncRNA from 2 species